GACUCUCAGAAAUGGAUAUCUUGGCUCUUGUCAUGAUGAAGAAUGUAGCGAAAUGCGAUACUUGGUGUGAAUUGCAGAAUCCCAUGAAUCAUCGAGUUUUUGAAUGCAAUUUGCACCUGAGGCCUUGGUCGAGGGCACGUCUGUCUGGGCAUCG
rfam:Picea glauca, whole genome shotgun sequence.